rnacentral:rRNA from 1 species
AUGAACGCUGACAGAAUGCUUAACACAUGCAAGUCAACUUGAACUUCGGUUUGGGUGGCGGACGGGUGAGUAACGCGUAAAGAACUUGCCUCACAGAUAGGGACAACAUUUGGAAACGAAUGCUAAUACCUGAUAUUAUGAUUAUAUGGCAUCGUAUAAUUAUGAAAGCUAUAUGCGCUGUGAGAGAGCUUUGCGUCCCAUUAGCUAGUUGGAGAGGUAACGGCUCACCAAGGCGAUGAUGGGUAGCCGGCCUGAGAGGGUGAUCGGCCACAAGGGGACUGAGACACGGCCCUUACUCCUACGGGAGGCAGCAGUGGGGAAUAUUGGACAAUGGACCAAGAGUCUGAUCCAGCAAUUCUGUGUGCACGAUGAAGUUUUUCGGAAUGUAAAGUGCUUUCAGUUGGGAAGAAAAAAAUGACGGUACCAACAGAAGAAGAGACGGCUAAAUACGUG